rnacentral:rRNA from 1 species
GAUGAACGCUGGCGGCGUGCUUAACACAUGCAAGUCGAACGAUGAAGCUGGAGCUUGCUCUGGCGGAUUAGUGGCGAACGGGUGAGUAACACGUGAGAAAUCUGCCCUUGACUCUGGGAUAACUGCGGGAAACUGUAGCUAAUACCGGAUACUUUCCCUGGUGGGCAUCCACUGGGGAAGAAAGAAUUUCGGUCAAGGAUGAUCUCGCGGCCUAUCAGCUUGUUGGUGAGGUAAUGGCUCACCAAGGCGACGACGGGUAGCCGGCCUGAGAGGGUGACCGGCCACACUGGGACUGAGACACGGCCCAGACUCCUACGGGAGGCAGCAGUGGGGAAUAUUGCACAAUGGGCGCAAGCCUGAUGCAGCAACGCCGCGUGAGGGAUGAAGGCCUUCGGGUUGUAAACCUCUUUUAGCAGGGAAGAAGCGAAAGUGACGGUGCCUGCAGAAAAAGCACCGGCUAACUACGUGCCAGCCGCCGCAGUAA